CAGUCGCCGCGGUAACACCAGCAGCCCAAGUGGUGGUCGCGAUUAUUGGGCCUAAAGCGCUCGUAGCCGGGCCGGUAAGUCCCUUGUGAAAUCGGACGGCCUAACCGUUCGGCGUGCAAGGGAUACUGUCGGUCUUGAGGCCGGGAGACGUCCGAGGUACUCCGGGGGUAGCGGUGAAAUGUUCUGAUCCUCGGGGGACCACCGGUGGCGAAGGCGUUCGACGAGAACGGGCCUGACGGUGAGGGGCGAAGGCUAGGGAAGCAAACGGGAUUAGAUACCCCGGUAGUCCCUGUCUCUUAUA
rnacentral:rRNA from 1 species